UUUUUUCUGCAAACCUGGUGUUUAUAAACAAAGGGACAGCUGCUGACCACAAUGCCUUCUGCAGAUGUCCUCUGCACAAAGCUCUCCAAUGCUACAAAUAUGCAAGAGCCAUAAAAACUGUCAUACGUUGGAUCCAGAAAUCUGCACGGUUUGCAUGUGGAAGAUGUUUGUGGCAACAUUAUGGGUAAGAGCAUGGACCAGAAGCAACUAAUUACAGCACGUCAGGGACUGACUCAGAGGCCAUGGAGCCUUCUUAAGAUGAAGAUAAACUGUCCUUCCAAAAUAUGUCAC